rnacentral:lncRNA from 1 species
AUGGAACGCUGGGUUUUAGAGGGCGACAGCUACUCGUUUCUUCACAGUGCUCCACACACGUUCAGCCUGCAGAGUCAUGAAGGGCCAAAUCGUGUGGAGAUCUUUGACAUCACUUCAAUCCCCAGCCAUCAUAAUGCCAUAUCUGAAACACCCUGCCUGUGUGACAUUUUUGGGGGUGACGGCGAGUCUCCGUCACUUUCCAGUAGCCCAGCCUCUGCCCCAUUUAUCAGGAGGGAAGUGGAUCAGUCUUUUCCAGUAGAUGAUGCCAAUGACUCUUUAGGAUCUUACCACACUGCCAAUGGAUCUGACUUAAGCGACAACGCUGAAGUCACUUACAACACACCUUCUCCAGAAAAUACACCAGAUUUUUCCACAUCUGAGACCAGGGAAUCACGUUCACCACCAACUAAAUCAUCCAUCUUGUCUGAUUCCAAAAAUGGACUUAACCAACUAGACUGCACACCACCUGCAUCCAAAGUCAAUAGUAAUGACCUUUCACAUACAGAUAACUGGGAAGAAUCCCAAGUGUCAGUAAUCACUGCCCCAGUGAAUGAAAUGGCCAUCACAAAUGCAUCUGAACCACAGUAUGUGAAUUCAACACCAGCUACCACCCUGAUUAAUCCGGCAAAGAAACCUUCUAAUUCUACAUCCUGCUCUUCGGAAGAGAAAGAACCUGCUGUUUUUGAGCAAGAAGGAAUUAUUAAAACACCUCAACAUAUAAGCACAAGCCCAGUUUUAGAUAAACAAAUAUUUGAGUCAGACUGUGAAUCUUUGGCAGUAUCUCCACUUGAGCAAAAUGUUGUGAUGUCUUCUGAGGACAAAGAGAGCAGGAUCUAUUGUAGUCCACGAGAGCAAAACAUUCUUUCUGUGCAAGGGAUGAUGAACAGUGGCUCUGCAUCAGAACUGUCAAACCCUUCUCCAACAGAUUGCAGCCUUAUGGAGGAAAUGUCUACUUCACCUUCAAACAGAGAUAUUAACUUUCUACCCAUAUCCAGUGUCAUGCCAGAACCCAGAUUGACCUCCACCUCCCCUGUAAUCAGGGAAACUACCUCCACACCUGCAUCCACAGGUAGAUCUUUACCUGAGCUGCUGAAUUUGUGUCCAACUCAAGUUAGGAACACAUCGGAGACUCCAGACUUGGAGGACACUUAUGGUGCUACUUUAUCUGUAUCUACACUGCCUACCAGUGAUAAUGUGCAAAUAAAUUCCCUAACUGUGUCUGACAUUUCUACUGAAACAAGAGGACUGGUAUAUUCAUCCAUAGCUGGAAGAGAAAAACUGGAAUCACCUGAGUUCAAUGAAACCUGCUCUUCUCCUGAUCACUCAGCACCUGCUCACUCACAAGAACCAGUACUGAUUCACUCCCCUGUAGGUUACACCAUCAGCCCAUCACCUACAAAUGAGAGAAUCGUUUCUUCGACUGAACCUGAAGACUCACCAUCCUUCCCUGUAGUCACAAGGAUUGAAUACAGGGAUAUUUGCUCUUCUCCUGAUCACUCAGAACCAGUAAUCAUUCACUCGUCUCCAUGUUACAACAUCAGUCCAUCACCUACAAAUGAGAGACGGGUUUAUUCAACUGAACCUGAUGCCUCAACAUCUUCCCCCUGCGGUCACAGUGAUAUGCACUCCUUUUCUGAUCACUCCAUUCCAGCUCACUCACCAGAACCUGAAAUAAUUCACUCACCGAUGGGUUAUACCAUCAGCCCAUCACCUACAAAUAAGAGAAUGUUUUUUUCAGUGCAACCUAAUGACCUACCAUCCUCUCCUGCCAUCACAGGAACUGAUUACACAGCAACACCAACAUGCAGUAGAGAUUCCACACCUGCGUUAAGGAGCAUUACCUCCACUCCAAACAGCAGAGAAAAUGACCUUACACCAGAGCCCAAUUCCCCAGCCCCUUCACUGGAAUUGAGAUCGGUUACCUGCUCACCUGAAAUCAAAACAAUAUCAUAUAGUGUUCUGCCACAAAAUACAAAAUCCCCAGGCAUCACAUAUAAUGUUAUACUAACCGAAGAUUUAGCACAAUCACCUGCAGUAGAAAAAAAUGUCUGUGGCAACUCUUCUGAAACUUCCAGCUAUCUUUUUGGAAAUGACACCUCUGUCUUACCUAGCUCAAGGAACUUUUUGCCAACACCAGAGAGUAGAUCAAGGCCCUCAUCAGCUACAUCAGACCAUACCAAACACACAACACUAUCCUCUGAUCUUGAACCUGAGCCUUCCAUCACUAUUGGAAAUGCAGAAAAUCAGAGUUUAUCCAUAAUCUGUGAUGGAGUUAGUCAUCCUUUCUCUAACCCAAUAGACAGUUUUGAUUGUUUUGAUGACCAUGCUGACACAAAGACCCUCAAAAGCCUUGCAUUUCUCCCAGAUGAAUGUAAAGGCAGUGGACCACCAGUUCAGAUACUACAAGAUUCAACCUCUAAAACCUCAGAUUCUGGAUCAUCCACAAUAAAAAUUGAGAAAAGUCAAGAAAUUGUCACUGACAACACAACUGAUUUAACAUUCUGUGGAACACCAACCUCCCCUUGUCCAUGGGAUGCAUCUGUAGAGAAGAAACAAUGCCUUGUUGAGGUUUUUGAUAGGAACAAGGGAACAGAAAUGUUGAAAAAUGAUUCCCCAAGCAGUGACAAGAGGCUUAGUCAAGUGCCUGUAGCAUUAAGAGAAAGCGCAGGGGUUAUCAGUAGGGACAAUGGUGGUGAAUUUGACAGGCAGCCAUGCAGGGAAAAAGAGGAAAGUGGAAAGAAGGAGGGAGAGGGGGAGGAGACUAUGGGAGAGAGUAGUUACAGAGGGGAACAGGUUGUGCUGUCAUUCAGUGCCAGGAAUAGAAAAGGGUCUGCAGGCCACAGCCCAGCUCUCUCAAGUCAAGACCCAAAGUCGGGAAUUCCAGCUCGCUGUUAUUUUGAGUCGCACCCAACAACUUUGCAGCAACAGAGUCAGCUCAGAGCUCAGGGCUCACAACAAGAGAACAAGGGUGGUGCCAGGAGGCUCCAGUCAGCUGCCCAGGGUAAAUACAGCAGUGCAGGCUUUCUUCUUCCUGAAUGUACUGGUGAGACCUCCAGCAUGGGAAGUGAAUUUGAUGAAGCAGACAAUGAAGUAAAGUGGUUUACAGAUCUGGCCUUCAGAAGCCUAUCUAGUCCUCAGGUGGAUUAUUUGGAUGUGUACAAUUCAAGCCACAGGUCCUCUACAAAUGUUUCACAGCCAUCGACUGUAGACAGCCCUGGUGCUGUUGCAUGGAUGACCUACGCAGAUUUACGUGGCUCAGCGUUACAUGAAAACGAUGGUUCGUCUUUUUUACCCCGUGACGGCCUGGACCCAAACAAACGCUUUGAAAUGGGGAGUUUUGAGUGUGUGGAUGUUGCAUUAGAGAGCAAGGAAGAGUCCAGUAGAGGAAAGAGGACAGUACCUAAAAGGCAGAUCCAGCUGUUAAGGCGGAACACAGAUGAAUCAAAACAUAAAGGAAACAAUGAAAAUAUUUUCAAUUCACCCUCCACAUAUAGACGCUCAAAAGACGCACUUGUUCGUCAACAUAGCACACCAGCUUUUGUGCAACAGGAAGUUUCCAAGGAGGUGCCAGAUUCACCACAAAAUGACAGGAAAAAGACCUUGCAGAAGUCUUUGUCUUUAGAUGAUGGCUCCCCUAAGACACAAAUGGCAUCUUGCAUUAUCAAGAGUGUAUUGUCAAAGAAAAUGCAGGAUGUUCAGAAAGAGACACCAAAAAGUACAGACCCAAGUCCUUCUGGAGAUAAAAACAAACAUCCUGAUGUCAGCCCCAGCUCUUUUGAUGGUGUACCAAGUACCAUGGAGAAACAUAGUUUAAGCUCUAGCCAGCAUUCUGAAUGUACUCUUUCAUCUGAAGAUUUUGCUGUCGGAGAGGAGAGAAUUUCACAUCGUCAGCUGAAGAAGUGUGCUCCAAAAGUUCCUCCAAAGCCAUUCUUAAGACCUGCGUUCUUUAACAACGGGGAAGCUCAGGUUGCUGGCAACAUUGCAAGGGAAGAAACCAAGCCUAUAGUGGCCCCUCCACAAGUUGAUGACAAAAUACAAAACAGCAAGAGUGAUAGGAAAGAGGGAGUAGGUAGCAACCUUGAAGAGAAGUACAAAAGUGACUCUGCAAAUGCCAGUAUCAGUAACACAAGUCCUGUUGUUGCUACACCAGCAAUAAGCAUGCAGAACAGAAUGACAACCAGAGACAUAAGAAAGCGCCAGAUGACACCGGAAAACCAGGAACAACUGGCUGGAAAGAGUGUAUUUAUGUUGAAAACCCCAGAGAUAACUUUGAAACCUUCUAUCAAAGGAAAAAAGACGACAUCUCUGAAAGUGUUUUUGUCCCCUGACUUGGAACAGUCCAGAAAAAUAUCUGAAUCUCAGGCAAUGGAGAAAGCUGCAGAAGAUUUAAGCACCAAAUCUACUAAAGUUUUAGAGACAGAAGACGAUGAUGACAGCAACAAAAAAUCUGUUAUACAUAGAGUUAGGGAUGUGAGGAAGUUAGUGAAAAACACAUACAACCUGUCUUUCAAAGCAUCAAAUUCAACAUCAUCUGCAGAAGAGACAGUGAUUCAAGGGAAAAGAGAGAAGCCGCCGCAAACUCCUCCAACCUUGCACAUUGAAUGUAAAGCCAUCAGUUGGAAGGACAAACAAACAUCAGGCAGCAAAGCAAUCCACUGUCAUGAUGAAAAUCUGCCUGUUGACAUAUCAAAAAUAUCACAACCAUGGGUGUGCGCAGAGACAAAAAGAGAUGCUGACAUCACUGAAAUUACAUCCAAAGGCUCUUCGCCAAAGACUGAGUCAAAACAAAAAGCACCAUAUUCUCACUCUACAACCACAGAUGGAUUACAUGAAUCAGAAAGUAUCAAUAAAAGAUCUUACAUUCACUGUGAUCAGAGUUCUAAGAUGCCCCCUAGACCCCCAAGUAAGGAGCGAGAAGUUUCUGCGUUGGUGGUUGUACCGGAUUGCACAUCCAAGACAAAGACUGUUUCCCCUACAAUCCUUGACUCGACUCAAAUGACAGCUGCAAGCAGCAGCCACUCCGUAUCCAUGCUACUGAAAGAAAAAGGGAUGCAGGCUGACAUUGGAGUGUGUGAUGUUCUCACUGAAGGUGCAAGUGCUACAGCUAAACAUGUCAACAGGCUUGAGGUACCUGUACAGGCAUGUUUAUCAGAAAGCAUUUCAAGUGAAGUACAAGUAAAGGCAGAAAAUACAUCAUUGCCUUGCAAUCCAACAGCUUUUGUCAACAAUUUGUCAAGAACAUCUCAACUAAGUGAGAGUCCCAAGGGAACACUGACAGAAGAACCUUCAACAAAGGAACAAGAAAAAAAGAAAACUGCCACCACAACUAUGACACAAAUUCCAACUUAUUUAGCAACAUCUGGCAAGCCAGAGGUGAGGUCUUUUUCAGGCAGUACAAAAAAUAAUGCCACGCCAGUGAAUGCAUCAAAAGAGAUUGAGUUACCCAUACAAGUGAGAUCAAUAUCCACUGAUAGACUAAAGCCAUUUGUACCACCAAAACCUAGCUAUAAACAGUCAUUUGCAGAAAUUAAGUCAGUGUCAAGUGACCCAUCAAAAGCAGAUACUCAAGCAUUGUCUGUUAUUAAACACCAAACAAUAUUAAGUAGUGAAUCAAAGAAAAAUGAAACACCAUCAACAGUGACACACAAGGAUCAACCAAAUGAGACUUCAUCAAGAGAUACAAAAAGACUGGCUGUAUCAGCUGUAUCAAGCUGCAAACCACCAUCCAUCUCAGUCACAACAACUCCAAGUGUUGUGCAAAAAUCCACCACAAAGACACUGGCCAGUCUGGAUCAACAGCAAUCUUCUGCUUUCUUGCAAUCAACCAGCACUUGCCAGCAGCAGACCCCAUCAUUCAGUCAAGACCAGUCAAUGCUAGAUAGUUCCUUUGCUUCUAACUCAUCAGGACCACAAGCCCUUAACCACACACCAUCUGUGACAAGAGCAUCAUCUAAUAAUCGUUUUCACACAGAUGACUAUCUUUUCUACGCUUUAGAUGAUCCUCCCAGCUAUGAUGAGCGGGAGAGUUUCAGCCCACUACGGCUCUCAGACUUACCCCCACAUAGGUCAUGCAGGUAUCAUCCAACAACUAAGCAAUCUUCUUGCUCCUGCACGCCAAGUUCUCAUUCGCAUCAAGGACAUCCCAACAAUAGUCCACAGGAACGGGUACCAGCAGCCUCUCGGUCUCCAGGCCAAGUCCUUACCUGUCCUGCUGCUCCUCCGCAAGCUCAAGUACGUCCUCAUCAGUGCAGACCAGAUGGUCUACCAGUCUCCAAUACUACAAUACCUCAUGCCUCAGCUUUGAUUCAGCCUCUACACAACCCACAAGCUUGCCCUGUUUCAAACUCACAAUCCUAUGGUGAUGACUAUCCACCAGCUUCUGGGCUGCAUGCAGAUAGACGCUCAGCCAGUCACCCUUCACCUCAGGCAGCAGGUCCUGCUCCCUACCAUGAGUAUUCUCAUUCAGCUAACAUGUCUACUCUGGAUCCCAGGCCUCAGUUGUUUAAUCCUCAAGAUUUGCCACCAUCUUUUGGCCAUGAUUAUGCAAAUGAAGGUCCAGGUGGAGCUGGUGUAUUGUAUCCAGAGAAUGCAAGUGGGCUCAGCUGUGGCCAAGGUCCUCGUCGUGUCCUUCUUGAUCCUGAGACUGGCAAAUACUUCUACAUUGAGGUACCAAUGCAACCACUCAGAAAAAUGCUGUUUGAUCCUGAAUUAGGCCAGUAUGUAGAAGUUCUCAUACCACAUCAGGCAAUGUCCCAUUCAGGGCUAUAUCCACCAGCUGUACCGCCCUACUCCUCUUUGCACAGUCCUGGGUUGUAUGCACCACAGUCCUGGCACCUGCCUUAUGCAGUGCCAUCUUACCCAGCAAUCUCAGGUACUGCCCCGCAAGUUCGCCAUCCGGAGCCACCUCCUGUGCCCACCACACUUCACCAGACUUCCUUAAGGUAUGGAAGCCCUGCAAGCCAGAUGCCAAAAAAUGAACCAAAAGGCCUGUCAUCACUGGAUCAAAGCUAUCUAGAGAGCAUGUAUUACAUCCCCACUGGGAUGAAUGCAAGCCCAAAUGCAACCCCUUCAGAAUGCUACCACAAGCCAUCAAGCAUGCCUCAUUCAGGGGGACGAAGAGCAUGA